ensembl:snoRNA
AUCGAGGCUAGAGCCACACUUGGGUAUCAGCUGUUGCCUUUGUGUGCUAGAGUCCUUGAAGAGUAACUGCUGACCUUAGUCACUCACUGUGGCCCUCAGGACAUAAUCACCA